AGGAACUCAGCAUAUAAUUAAAUCAAGACGUGCAUGUGUGAUGGAGUAAAUGAUAGUGAUGGUGAAAAUGCAUAAGUGAUAAUAAAAUUUACUUCUCAUUGCUCCUCAUAUUGCUAUCUCUCCUCUUCUUUGAUCUUUGCUUUGGGAGAACAUGGGCUAUCUUUUUUUCCUCUCUUCUUCUUUUUUUUCAGGUGGGUAGUAGAUACCCUUAAUUCUACUGUCGGACACUUGUCCAUUUUUUCCGCUCAAGUGGGCAUCUUUGUACCCCUAAUUCUACUUCGGACACUUGUCCAUUUUUACCUCUCAUCUCACUCUUUUUCUUUCUUUUUCGAGGUUCCGGGCACUUGCCCCUUUUUAUUUCCUCGCAUAUUUUUGCAUAACCCAUGCCUCUUCUGCAUUGAAUCUUUUUAGCGAGAGAAUAACAAUAUUCGGGACAGUGAGUGAUACUAUUUUUAGCAAUUUUAAUGAUUGGUGAUGAAUGCUGUGGUAGAUGUGUGCAAGUGAAUAUCUUAAUUUAACCACAUGAAAAGCUCCUAAGGGUCUACACAGCUCGAUCAAACUCAAUGUGAAUAUAGUAAAAGAUGUUAUAGCAAGUAUGGCUGUGGUAGGUAGUUUUGUUAUGCUAGGAACUCAUCAUGCGAUUUGUAAGUUUUCAAAAUAAAUCUCCAGAACUUAGUGUAGUAGAAACAAGAUAAACAGUAGCUCAACUUUAUAUCAUGCCUUUCUCUUACCUUGACUUUAGUAACACCCUAGGUGUUAAGCAUGCAUUUAGUCCCCUCACAACAUGCAUAAGCAUCCUCAUCAAUCAUAAGCAUCACGAGCAUGUCAUUCUCUUCAAGUAUGAUUUUAUGUGCAUCAUUUCAUGAGUUUUAAACAUGUUAAAAAUGUGAUGCUUGCUUUAAAAAUUGGGAAAUAUUCAAACUAGGUUGGUUUAUGUGUAAGAAGAAUUGAGAACAUUUUUGUGCAAUUUUUGGAGCCAGGGAAAUUGAGAAAUGGAAUUUAUACAAAAAUAUCCAAAAAGAAUUUAUUUGAAAACCUAGAACUAGUUUUGUUUUGCAAUUCAAAUUCUAUUGGGAAUUUGAUUUGGCUUAUUAAAGCAAAGUUGUAGAGUUUUUAUUUUGGAACAAUUUUGUUUUUGGGAGCAAGAGGUGAAAAUGCUUUUUGGCUGGUCCAAAUAAUUUUAGAAAGGAAUUUGGAAAAAAAAAUUCAAAAAAAAAGAAAGGGGGAGCUGUUCACUGGCGGGCCGGCGCCAACC
rnacentral:lncRNA from 1 species